UAUCUAUCUAUCUAUCUAUCUAUCUACCUCAGAACUCAAUUCAAACUAGCUUACCCUUAUCUUGUACUUUUUAUCCUUUAUUAAAAUAGCUGUUGGUUUAAUUUGUUUUUCAAAUUUUCUUGCCACAUUCUUUGUAAAAGACAAUGAAAGGAAGAUUCAUGGUCAUUAUCUCACUAAUGUUGAUUGCAUAAUACAUUUAAUAGCUCUGGAGAUGAACACUUGAAAUUCUUAGAAUGGACCACAGCAGACCCAUGGGUUCACCCCCAACAUAACUCCCACUGAGUGAGACGCCUCUGUUCAGGUGGAUCUCCCCGCUCCCAUCAGCCCUGUAUGUGGCCAAUGUUAGGAUUUAUUAUUUUUUUAAAGGCACUGCUAGCCUAACACUUAAAUUGAUAUCACAUAUGAGUAUUACAAUGUUGAUAACUAUUUAUUGUGCAAUUAAUGCAUGAGUUGUGCUUGAUCUUUCAAGGGAGAGAUAUGGAUUCAGGCAUUAACCCUAGCUGUUUACACACAAACUCAUAUACAUACACACACCACAACAUGGAGUGGUUCUAUACAUACACAUUCCAAAGAGACACAGAGGUUUUGCUAUGCUUCACAGUAUACUCCUCUUCCUUUGUAAGGUAACAGCAAGCUGCACUGAAACUGUUUAUAUAAGGUGGGAAACAUGACCAUCCUUCCUAUGGGAUACCACCAGUGGCUGCAUCCCAUCACAGCUAACAAAGGAGAAGAAAUGACAGGUAGAGUGCGGGAAGUGUUAGAAAAGCGUCGUGUGCUGAGAGGUUGUCGUUUCCUGCGUUUUCCUCCUCUCGCUCCUCGCACGGCGUUCGCUGUCAUUUCCUCAGAGCCGCACGCGGGGUGAGGGACGGGCCUGGUCUGCUAACGAGACCUCCUCGGCCGCAAAACGCGUCGUGUGACGGCGUUCGCUGUCAUUUCCUCAGCCCGCAGCUCGUCACUCUCCUGCUCGGAGUCGGAGCCACGGGGUGAGGGACGGGCCCGGUCUGCUCAGAGACCUCCUCGGCCGCGAAACGCAUCGUGUGCUGAGAGGUUGUCGUUUCCUGCGUUUUCCUCCUCUCGCUCCUCGCACGGCGUUCGCUGUCAUUUCCUCAGCCCGCAGCUCGUCACUCUCUUGCUCGGAGUCUGAGCCACGGGGUGAGGGACGGGCCCGGUCUGCUCAGAGACCUCCUGGGCCGCGAAACGCGUCGUGUGCUGAGAGGUUGUCGUUUCCUGCGUUUUCCUCCUCUCGCUCCUCGCACGGCGUUCGCUGUCAUUUCCUCAGCCCGCAGCUCGUCACUCUCUUGCUCGGAGUCGGAGCCACGGGGUGAGGGACGGGCCCGGUCUGCUCAGAGACCUCCUCGGCCGCGAAACGCGUCGUGUGCUGAGAGGUUGCUCGUGUGUGUCGCUCCUCCUCUCGUUCCGCGCGCGGCGUCUCGCGGCCCAGGAGGUCUCGGAGUCAGAGCCAGAGGGGUGACCCUGGUCUGCUCCGAGACCUCCUGGGUCGCGAAAUGCGUCGGCGCUGAUACUCACCUGUCAUUCCUCCCACGGCGUUCGCUGUCAUUUCCUCAGAGCCGCACACGGGGUGAGGGACAAGACCUCCUCAGCCUCGAAACGCGUCGUGUGAGCUGAGAGGUUGCUCGUGUGUGUUGUUUUUGUUUUCCUCCUCCUCUCGCUCCUCGCACGGAAUUCGCUGUCAUUUCCUCAGAGCCGCACGCAGGGUGAGGGACGGGUCCGGUCUGCUCAGAGACCUCCUGGGCCGCGAAAUGCGUCGUGUGAGCUGAGAGGUUGCUUGAGAGAUCGCUUGAGUCAUCCUCAGCGAAGCAAAAAAAUAAAAUAAACAACUGAACAUUGGAUGAAAACAGAGGCAGACUACAGCGGGAGGAUGAAACGAUUUUUCAUUCAAUGUUCAGUUGUUUGACUCGUCCUCAUGAAAAUCAUUUCAUCCUCCUGCUGUCGUCUCUGUCUUCUCCUCCUAUUUUCAGCUCCUGCCUUUCCCAGUGCCUUCCUACUCUGGCUUGCUGAUGUGUGAAGCUGUCCUGUUUUGUUCAGGGAGGCGGUACAUAGAUGGUCUCAGUUUAUCCGACCGGCCACAGUUUAUCCGACCUCAUUCAUCCGACCGACCCUGAAAUGUCCGACCGGGCUCGGUUUAUCCGACCGUGUGCUGACGAAAGAAGGGAGAAAAAAAAAAAGCUUUCCCAUUCAUCCAACCAAAUAAGAAGAAGGAGAAAAAGAAGCAGCACGAGGGAAGUCUCAGUUUAUCCGACCGGCCACAGUUUAUCCAACCUCAUUCAUCCGACCAGCCCCAAAAUGUCCGACCGGGCUCAGUUUAUCUGACCGUGUGCUGACGAAAGAAGGGAGAAAAAAAAAAAAGCUUUCCCAUUCAUCCAACCAAAUAAGAAGAAGGAGAAAAAGAAGCAGCACGAGGGAAGUCUCAGUUUAUCCGACCGGCCACAGUUUAUCCGACCUCAUUCAUCCGACCGGCCCCGAAAUGUCUGACCGGGCUCGGUUUAUCCGACUGUGUGCUGUGGAAAGAAGGGAGAAAAAAAAGAAAGCUUUCCCAUUCAUCCAACCAAAUAAUAAGAAGGAGAAAAGGAGCAGCACGAGGGAAGUCUCAGUUUAUCCGACCGGCCCCGAAAUGUCCGACCGGGCUCUGUUUAUCCGACCGACCCCGUCCGACCGGGCUCAGUUUAUCCGACCGGCCCCGUCCGACCGGGCUCGGUUUAUCCGACCGUGUGCUGUGGAAAGAAGGGAGAAAAAAAAAGAAAGCUUUCCCAUUCAUCCAACCAAAUAAGAAGAAGGAGAAAAAGGAGCAGCGCGAGGGAAGUAGGGAGGGGGUGUCAGAUAGACCCGAUGGCCGCGGGGGAAGAACAGGAGGCUUGUGCCUGUGAGGAAACGGUGAGGUGGGGGUGGGUUCAGUAGCAGACCAUGAGUCGCUCAGAAAAAAAAAAUCAAGGCAUCCAGCGGAGAAAAUGUCCAACUGGUGAUGUCGCACACACGCACAUGGAUAAAACACACUGAGAUGAGGAACGGAGAGGCUUAAGAAAUGAUUUUUUAUGAUGAAGAGGUGGCAGCAGCUGUUUGCAAGUUCCACGAGACCACGUGAACAUCUCUGGGAACGUAAAAAUUAAAAGCACGAUCCUCUGCUCUGUAAGUGCCUAGCAGCCAUGGGAAUGUAUCGCUUCGUCGACCGCUUUGACAACUUUACUCAGUUCGUCCGCAUGUCUCCG
ensembl:lncRNA